rnacentral:rRNA from 1 species
UGCAUAUCAAAAAAGCGGAGGAAAAGAAACUAACUAGGAUUCCCUUAGUAACGGCGAGUGAACCGGGAUGAGCUCAAAUUUGAAAUCUGGCGUCUUUCAGGCGUCCGAGUUGUAAUCUAUAGAGGCGUUUUCCGCGCCGGACCGCGUCCAAGUCUCUUGGAAUAGAGUAUCAAAGAGGGUGACAAUCCCGUACUUGACGCGACAACCGGUGCUCUGUGAUACGCUCUCAAUGAGUCGAGUUGUUUGGGAAUGCAGCUCUAAAUGGGUGGUAAAUUCCAUCUAAGGCUAAAUAUUGGCGAGAGACCGAUAGCGAACAAGUACCGUGAGGGAAAGAUGAAAAGCACUUUGGAAAGAGAGUUAAACAGCACGUGAAAUUGUUAAAAGGGAAACGAUUGAAGUCAGUCGUGUGGGAAGUAUUCAGCCGUCUCUGGCGGUGUAUUUGCUUCUCACGGGUCAACAUCAGUUUGAUCCGGUAGAAAAAGGCGGGAAGAAGGUGGCACCCUCGGGUGUGUUAUAGCUUCCUGUCAUAUGUGCCGGACCAGACUGAGGAACGCAGCUUGCAGCAAUGCCGGGGUUCGCCCACGUACAAGCCUUAGGAUGUUGACAUAAUGGCUUUAAACGACCCGUCUUGAACCCCGGA